GUGAGGGAGAACGCAAAAAACUUUAAAAUAUGUUUUCCUAUCACUCAGUUUUUUUUCUCCCACACAGUUUUUUUUCUUCUGGGCUACAGUGGACUAUGUUGAGCGGGUGUCCACGCUAAGUUCGGUAUCGAUAUGGUGCUCCUAGUGGAGCUUGGGACUACCAGGUUGUCUAAGGAGGGGUGAACCGGCCCAGGUCGGAGACGGAGCAGGUCAAAUCCCAUGUGCCGAUCAGUAGUGGGAUCGCGCCUGUGAAUAGACACUGCAGUGCAGCCUGAGCGACACAGAGAGAUGCAGACUUAU
rnacentral:SRP_RNA from 1 species